rnacentral:rRNA from 1 species
UACGUAGGGGGCAAGCGUUGUCCGGAUUUACUGGGCGUAAAGAGCGCGUAGGCGGCCAAUCAGGUCCGUUGUGAAAACUGGAGGCUUAACCUCCAGACGUCGACGGAAACCGCGUGGCUAGAGUCCGGAAGAGGAGAGUGGAAUUCCUGGUGUAGCGGUGAAAUGCGCAGAUAUCAGGAAGAACACCAAUGGCGAAGGCAGCUCUCUGGGACGGUACUGACGCUGAGACGCGAAAGCGUGGGGAGCGAACAGG